GUUUGUCCCUGACUGCCCUAACAUACGAGGCUAAAAUGAUUGUUUGGGCUCCUCAGCACCUCAUCUAGUCCUGCAGGAGCUUCUUAAUCACCCAAACAUUGAAAUCUGGUGUUGCAACAAAUAAAAACAUCUAUAACAUCCCGGACGGCAUGCCCAGGGGUAGAGGACUGAGAACUGCUGCUUUAAAUAGAACAAUGAAACUUUUUCUCAUGUUUUCCUGUUAAUCUUUGAUUCUUUGUCUUGUAAAAGUAAAGGCUCAUGUAGGACAUCACAAAAGGUGUUUUACAAAGACAACUUCGGUCUGACAGUAAUCACAACUAGGAGAGGCUGAUAAAACCGAACCAAAAUAUGUCCUUGAUCCCAGUUAAUUAAAGGUCUAACUUACUUUUUCUCAUUGGACCAGCUUGGAUUAAACAACAUUUUCACCUUAAUUAAUAAAAUGAUCAUUUAAAAACAGUUUCCUGUAUUUACUGAGGGUAUCUUUGUCUGAAUUUUAAAAUGAUUUGAUUUCACAUAAAACAGAAUCAACCCUUAUUGGGUAAAAAUGUUUCCACACCACUGUAUUAACAACAGACUCUUCUGACUUUAUGGUUUCUCCGUUUCCAGCGCAGUGCGUUGGAGUCUUGUGUUCCAGGCUGGGGCGUCAGCGUGAUUUUUGGCUAUACGACCCUCCGAGACAUCAGUGCUCAACCAGUUCAGCUCAUGACCGGACGGACUUGGAAGGGCACCCUGUUUGGAGGAUGGUGUUCCUGAGACGGUUAAAGCCUACCUGGACAAGAAGGUGAUGGAGGAUGAGUUCAUCACUCACAACAUGACUUUGGACCAAAUUAAUGAAGCAAUCACGCUGAUGAAGCACGGCCAGUGCAUCCAAACGGUCCUGAAAGUUUCUUCUCGGCUCCCUGAUGGAUCUUUCCCACAAUUCCCAGGGUUCUGUGAGUGCAAUAAGUUCCAGGAAAGUAUGGACUACAAGAUGUAGUGCGACCAAAACCCAAAACCAUCUAACAGGAAAACAAUUCAACGGAAAUGUUAUUAGAGAUUAUUAGAGAAAACUGUUA